rnacentral:rRNA from 1 species
GGGCCCGCACAAGCGGUGGAGCAUGUGGUUUAAUUCGAUGAUACGCGAGGAACCUUACCAGGGCUUAAAUGUAAGUUGCAUAGAUCAGAGAUGGUCUUUUCUUCGGACUACUUACAAGGUGCUGCAUGGUUGUCGUCAGCUCGUGCCGUGAGGUGUCAGGUUAAGUCCUAUAACGAGCGCAACCCCUGUCGUUAGUUGCCAGCAAGUUAAGUUGGGCACUCUAGCGAGACUGCCAGUGCAAACUGUGAGGAAGGUGGGGAUGACGUCAAAUCAUCACGGCCCUUACGUCCUGGGCUACACACGUGCUACAAUGGCCGGUACAGAGAGCAGCCACUACGCGAGUAGGAGCGAAUCUAUAAAACCUAUCUCAGUUCGGAUCGGAGUCUGCAACUCGACUCCGUG